rnacentral:lncRNA from 1 species
ACCCUUUGUACUAAAACCCCGUUAGCAGUUCAUAGAUGACAAAGGAUCUGAGCCUUAGAUAUAUGAAAACUCAUCACUGUGGCAUCUAUAGAGGCAGUGUGGCCAAACAGAACUCAGAAUCCUAGGUUACACAUCACACAUUAACAAAGUAUCAAUAGAACUUGACUCCAGUUCUACUGUUGACCUCAAGCCCAAAAAAGCUAGAGAGCAAACACAGCCUACAGCUUUCAAGGAGAAACACUUGUGGCCUCUUUCUUAAUCAACUUCACGGUGACUUAAAAAUAUUUAUGUUAUGUCAAUUGAUACAAUGAUUGGGAUAUAUUCUAUUUUCUUAAAUAUUCAAGAAAAUGGAAGAUUUCUCCUUAAAAGACAAGGAGAGAGAAAUAUGCCAAAAAUGAGAAUAGGGAGUAGAGCCUAAAACCAAAAUUAGUAUUCAGAAAUUCCAAAUGAUGCUGAAAUUCCCAGAGGGAAGUAUUUAUUUAUAUAAGUAUAUUCGGUUAAUUAUUUAUAGAAAUAAAACUCAGGAAAAUUCCACUCUCACUGUUUUUAUCUGCGUACACUGUCCCUAGAGGGCUUGUAUGUGGGUUUCCAUUCUCAGAAUCAGAAAGUCCCUGUUUGUUCUUGUCCUUGUUAUCAUUUUAUUUUAAAAUAAAAUUUGUGAGAGUAGUGAUCACACUAAUUUUUCUCUGUGUUUAGAAGGCCCGCUAUUUUAAAGACUGAUUAUUCAUAUUUUUAAAAAUCACAUUUUUUUCAUAUAUAUAUGAAAGACAUAAAUUUGGAAUGCUUUAAUAAAGUUCAAAAGUCAGGAUAUGUGCUCAUUAGCCUGACAUCAUCAGCUGAAAUGACGCCAUUCGCAUCCAAGACUUAAUGCACUUGCUGUCGAUGUUUGAUGUAUGCCAGGCACAACCUUAUUCUCCACAAAAAGCCAAAGAAAGACCCAAGUAAUAUCAAACUCAGAGAAUGGGAGGCAAGAAAAGGAGAGCGUGAAGUACACAGAUGAUAACAAAUCAUCCAGAAUUAUCAAGAGUCAAGAUGAAGGCCAAAACCAGCAAGGUAAAAUUUAAUAAAUGUAAUAUUCUGCAUUACUCUUCAAGUAAAUUAGUUAAAUAAUUCACUUAGAAAAAGAAAUAAGCAUUUCAGUUAUCUAAAACUCAGUAUAAGCCAAUAUAUGCAACUGGUUACCAAAAACAUUCAUAAACUCCUAAUCUAUACUAAAAGAGGAAAGAAUGAACUUAGACCUGUGCACUCAAUAUUGGUCAGAUCAUAUGUAGUGUAUUUUGUUAAUAUAUGUAUUUUUUUAUUUUUGUGAGUACAUAGUAGGUA